CAGUAGCCACGGUAAUACGAGGGGUGCAAGCGUUAAUCGGAAUUACUGGGCGUAAAGCGUGCGUAGGCGGUGAGUUAAGUCUGCUGUGAAAUCCCCGGGCUCAACCUGGGAAUGGCAGUGGAUACUGGCUCGCUAGAGUGUGUCAGAGGAUGGUGGAUUCCCGGUGUAGCGGUGAAAUGCGUAGAGAUCGGGAGGGACAUCAGUGGCGAAGGCGGCCAUCUGGGACAACACUGACGCUGAGGCACGAAAGCGUGGGGAGCAAACAGGAUUAGAUACCCCUGUAGUCCCUGUCUCUUAUACA
rnacentral:rRNA from 1 species